UACGUACUGUGCGAACGUUAUUCGGAAUCACUGGGCUUAAAGGGUGCGUAGGCGGCCAAAUAAGUAGGGUGUGAAAGGCCUCGGCUCAACCGGGGCAUUGCGCUCUAAACUGUCUGGCUCGAGUGAGAUAGGGGUGUGCGGAACUUCCAGUGGAGCGGUGGAAUGUGUUGAUAUUGGAAGGAACGCCGGUGGCGAAAGCGGCACACUGGGUCUUAACUGACGCUGAGGCACGAAAGCCAGGGUAGCGAACGGG
rnacentral:misc_RNA from 1 species